rnacentral:lncRNA from 1 species
UUUUUUUUUUUUUUUUUUUUUUGAUCAAACACGCUUGUUGGUCGUUGAUGAUUUUGUUCUCACCAUAUCAACAACAACAAGAAGAAAAGCCAAGUCAUUCAAAGCUACAUGAUCCCAGAUGCUGCUAAGUAGAGGCCUAUCGCUCUCCACAGAUCACAACAGGUCAUGAACACCAUAUUAUUAAGAAAACAAAAUAUUAAAAGAGAGAGAGAGAGA